AAAAAUAGUGCAAAAGUAAGGAAUUCCACUUGUGGGUGGCGUCACUCCUCUGUGUGGUUGCGGCACACUUGGCUGGUAUGGGUGGCCAUCAUGUUGAAGAAGUCACCUCCUGACAUUUGGACGUCAAACCCUGAAGAUCCCGCCGCCCCCGAAGGCGUCCACUCGCGUCAGGUGACCGGACUCGGUCCGCGCUGACAUCCCGUCGUAAGAAAAGAGCGCCUCCAUCUGCCCUGAGAGACCUGGGAGCACCCAGGACUACGGUGAUGACGAGCUCCACCAAGUACCUGGGCCGUGGUCUGUUGCCAGUUCGGGGGUCUGACCGGGCUGCACGGAUGGGCCGGCGGGAGGAUGCGGGAGGCGUGACGCUGGCGGGCAGGGGUCGGCGCAGAAGAGCUGGCGAUGGGGAGGAUCGACAUACCUGAAAUAUCACAGUUAACUGUCUCUCCGUAGUGGAAUGGGACUUGACGUGCUUCCUCAAAGAGCUGGGAUCAGUGUAGCGCUUCGCGCAGCCCGGCACUUGGCACGCGUACGGCUUCUAAACGUGGGUGCGCUGGUGCUUGGCUCUGUCACUGGAGUUGCUGAAGGCCUUGAAGCAUCCCGGGUGCUGGCAAGGGUACGGCUUCUCCCCUGUGUGGCUGCGCAAGUGGAUCUUCAGGUUUUCCAGGCGGGAGAAGGCCUUUUUGCAGCCCUUGAACUGCGAAGGGGGAAAAAAGAAAAGAAAAGAAGAGGAGGAGUGACACUUUAAUCACGGGGGUACUAUUGGCACACUGGUGGGUUGUCAGCUGUGGCGCUCCAACAACAGCAUUAGACGACAGUAUCGGCGCUCCCCGAGGCGGCGGGGCAUCCAUUCCAGGUGUCAGGACGGGGCGAUUCCUCUGGAAGUUGCACCUCAACAGUCACUUAGGGUAAUGCGCACACACACACACUAUGAGCGCGCACCCGUGAUUAAUUAAUCUGCUUUUGAUUUGCUAAUAACACAAGGUCAGUGAGAGCUGAGUCAAUCCUUUUAAGA